UAUCAGAGCCUACUGCCUGUAGGUAGCCCCCUUUCCAACUCCUUGGCCGAAGUUGAGUCUAGUGUUUGAAAAACCUUACUAACACUAAUGCUGUGGCUUACGGGCCCACAUCUCAAUUGGGUGGUAUUAGUAUCUUUUACUCCUUUCCUAUACUCUGGGUUCUACUCUCUCUUCUCUUUCGGGUUAAAGAAUUUACUAACUCUAACAUUAGGUUCUCGUAAGUACUUCCUCCUUGAGAGCCCCGUAUUCCUGAUGAUGGCUUGAUCCGUCACAAGACUCCGAGGAUACCCCCUGAUGUUCUCUCGAGAACUUGUGCUCAUCGCUUAUGCGAUUUCCCUUCCUCCAUCAACCCCUAUGGAUGACGACAUCCAUACUUUCUUUUCCAAUUGCUCUUGUUUUACGAGAUGCAACGAAUUAUCUUAUCGGGGAUUCGUCCGUCAUUAGUUUUCAUGGGUUUUCGGAAGUCCUUUGAAUUACUCUUCGAUCUUUCGGAAUCCCCAGGAGCCUAUUGCUCUUGACCUUCUCACCUGCUUGUGUUAUGGUUAAAUCCGUAUGUCUAGUAGCAUUCACUAAAAUCCUUUGUGAUUUUCCUGUGAUCUC
rnacentral:lncRNA from 1 species